GGGGGAUUGGACGUCAGAGGCGUCAUCGAGCUGCGCCAGCGGAGAGCGGUGGAAGCCGGUCCAUCUCUCCUGUCUUUUCGGCGUUUGCCUGGUUCCCUCCGAGUCUUGGACGCCUUCCGUGUCCCCGGUGGGCACAGCAUCCCAGAACCUCCACGCGCAUGGCCACUAGCCUGAGGUCGCCCUCUUUCACCUCCUUUUCUUCCUCCCUGACAGACACAGACCACGAGGAUGUGCGCAGCCCUUGUGAAGAUGCUUCUAUGCGCAGAACUGGGACGGUCAUUUUGUUCAUGGCUGGAUUGGGAGCCUCAAGCCCCUGGAUGGCCGCAUGAGUCUUUCUGACGAGAUGGGGAGCAGCAUCACUAAGAGAAAAGCAAGAGAGAAGAAAAGAAAGGAAAAAGAACAAAAAGAAAAGAAGGAAAAAAGGAAGAAAAGAAGUAGGGAGAAAGGAAGGACCAUCAUCCCUGAGGUAAAACUAAUUAACUAACCUAGCUGAACUCCAACGUAAAAAGGCAUCAUACGGACGUAGACCAUUCCUGACACAUCAAAAAUCUCGGCUCUUUUGCUCAGGAGAACAAUUUCUCCCAGUUCAUUCUUCCUUUCUCCUUUGCCAUAUCCAACUGCCAGACCAAAAUGUGCUUUGAAAGUGCUGAGUCUCUGAGAAAAACUGGUGGUGGACGUAUGUUCUUAGAGUUUCUCCUUCACCACAAGCCAAGAAACCCAAGCAUCUGCAAAAGACUUCACAAAGAAUUGGAAUGGGAAGGACUCAGUGAUGAUGAUGAUGAUGGUGGUGGUGGUAGUCUUGAUACCAUAUUAUAAUAAACAACCUCUUUUUAAGAUUUUCUAUUUAUUUGGCAGAGAGAUCACAAGUAGGCAUAGAAGCAGGCAGAGAGAGGGGGAAGCAGGCUCCCCACCAAGCAGAUAGCCCAUUGCGGGGCUCUUCCCUGGACCCUGAGAUCAUGACCUCAGCUGAAGGCAGAGGUUUUAACCCACUGAGCCACCCAGCAGCCCCUAAACAACUCUUUAUAGAUCUCCAGUUAUGAACCAGUCUGUAUGCUCAGCCCUCUGGGUCCAGAAUUGUGUAAUAAAAAUACAGUUUAUUUAUUUUUACUGAGGUAUAUUUGACAUAGAACAUUGUGUCAGUUUAAGGUGACUUGAUACUUUUGUGUUGCAAUACAGUUGUCAUUGUACUGUUAGCUAACACCUCUAUCAUGUAACAUAAUUCUUAUUUCUUCUAGUGUUGGGAGCAAUUAAGAUCUAGUUUCUUGGGGUGCCUGGGUGGCUCAGUGGGUUAAAGCCUCUGCCUUUGACUCAGGUCAUGAUCUCAGGGUCCUGGGAUCAAGUCCCGCAUCAGGCUCUCUGCUCAGCACGGAGCCUGCUUCCCUCUCUCUCUCUCUGCCUGCCUCUCUGCCUACUUGUAAUCUCUGUCUGUCAAAUAAAUAAAUAAAAUCUUUUUAAAAAAAA